GUUUUGAAUACUUUAUUUUUCAACACAGAGGGAAAAAAAAAUAAAUGUUGUCACACCUAAAACCCCUGUCCAUCCAUCCACUCUGUGUGUGUGUAUGUGUGUGUGUGUGUGUGUGUGUGUGUGUGUGUGUGUGAUUUCCAGUGUCUCUCACUUUCAUUGUUGUAUUUUCAUCGGUCCAGACGGACGAAUCAUUUUCCUCUCCUCCUACUCCUCGUAAUCUUGCCAUCAUCAUCGUCAUCCCUUGCUUUUUUUUUUUUCAAGAGAGUUUUAGUGAGUGCCAGUAGAGUUGUUGACCAAAGGCUGUGCAGCACAAAACACAUCAAUUAAUGCACCAUUACAAGGUGUGUGUGUGUGUGUGUGUGUGUGUGUGUGUGUGUGUGUGUAUGUGUGUGUAAGGCCCAAAUCUAAUUAUUCUCUGGCUUUCCUCAUAGCAGGGACAGUCCGCUGGAGAGACUGCUGGUGGCUGAAGGUUUUCACUGCUGCAAUCUCUCUCUCUUUCUCUCUCUCUCCUUCUUGUUCUCUGACUUUCUCUCUUUUUAUCUCUCUCCCUCUUUUUCUUUACAUCUCUCUUUUUAUUUCCAUCCUGUCUGCUCUCUCAUCCUUCCCUGCAUCCUGCCUCACCCCUCCUUUCUCUCUCCAUCUUUCUCUUCCUCCUCCUCCUUCGUCCACCCCCGUCCAUCUCUACCUCCGUAUCCCACUCGCUCCUCUCUAUCACUCUCUCACAGAUGCCACAUCACACCACACGCUCUCCCUCUCUCUAUCUUGCUCUCUCUCUCCCUCUCUCUCCUAUCCCUGUGCUCUCUGCUCUCUCAUUCGCUCCACUGGCUAGUCGCCGGCUGUUAGUUCAUUUGCCGCGGCAGAGCAACAACUGGCUUCUUUCAGAGCUGGGAGCAGAGAGGGGAAGGCGAGAGUGACAGUAAGAGUGGAAGAAGAAAAAGUGGAGGAGGACGAGAAGGAGAAGAAGAGGAGAAAAGGAGGAGGAGGAAGAGAUCUUUUGUUAGGCAUCCAUCCCUCCCCUCAUCCCUCACUGGCAGCAGCAGCAUCAGCACCACUGCCUCCACCACAGCCGCUCCUGCUGCUGGAUCCUCCGUCUCCUGCCGGGAUCUGCCUCCUCCUUCUCCUCAGGGAGCUCCUCCUGAAACGCGGAGGGGGAGGGAGAUCACCACCUCCCAGCUUGCCGUGGACCCUCGGCAAGACAUCAGGAGAAAAGAAGGGAGAAGGAAGGGGAGGGAAUUUUAGAAGAGGCCAUCAGGAGAGCAGAGGAGAGGCAACACCCUGGUUUACAGGAGAGCAAAGAAGAACACGAAAAAAAAGAGGGAGCAGUGGAGAGAGCAAGGAAACCAAAUCUCAUCACAGGAUGAGGACCUCUAGAAGGCCCCAGCCCAGAGGAGCCAUUGAUGGAGCCUUGCCUCACGCUGCAGCGAGGCGUCUUCAAUCAAUGUGGCUGCCCCACUCUCUCUAUAUGUGUAUGUGUCUGUUUGCUACUGGAGCCUGA
rnacentral:lncRNA from 1 species